GAGAUGGAUGAGCAUUUUCAAAAGCUAACGAAGGGAACACCUCCAGGAACAAAGCAAGGAACCACAGUUCAGAAAAUUUACAGAGGACUAGAGAGUGAACCAGACUUGCAAUGCAGGAUCCUAAGGUGAUGUCAUUGGGAAAAACGAUGCAAGAAGUUAAACGUUGCAGGAGACCUGCCUCUAUGAGUGGCAAAAUCCAAAUUACAGAAGCUUGAAGAAGGGGUGUUCUUGGUGAGAAGGAGUUUCAGUGGAACUCAUAAGCUUCUGGAUGAAAAGCUUGAGGAAAGAGUAGGUACACAAAGCAUUGAAGAAAGGAAAAAAACACCAAGACCAAAGAGUAGCAAGAGAGCACCGAAGUAUCUAGAAAAAAGGAGGAAGAUCACAGAGUUCAUUUCCGCCAAAUGAGCUGAUCUUGUAAAAGCUUGUCCAGAAGAAUUUUUUUUUAUCUUUGAUCUUAUUUUGCGAUUGAAAACUUUCUUUGACUUGAUGAUAGUAAAUCACAUUUGUUUGAGGGCUAUUGCAUAUAAUAUCAUUAGUUUAAUCUUA